rnacentral:lncRNA from 1 species
CUGUAGUGUCCUCUCUACAGCGUUCUGUCUCCUGUAGUGUCCUCUCUACAGCGUUCUGUCUCCUGUAGUGUCCUCUCUACAGCGUUCUGUCUCCUGUAGUGUCCUCUCUACAGCGUUCUGCCUCCUGUAGUGUCCUCUCUACAGCGUUCUGCCUCCUGUAGUGUCCUCUCUACAGCGUUCAGUUCUGUCUCCUGUAGUGUCCUCUCCACAGCGUUCUGUCUCCUGUAGUGUCCUCUCUACAGCGUUCUGUCUCCUGUAGUGUCCUCUCUACAGCGUUCUGUCUCCUGUAGUGUCCUCUCUACAGCGUUCUGUCUCCUGUAGUGUCCUCUCUACAGCGUUCAGUCUCCUGUAGUGUCCUCUCUACAGCGUUCUGUCUCCUGUAGUGUCCUCUCUACAGCGUUCUGUCUCCUGUAGUGUCCUCUCUACAGCGUUCUGUCUCCUGUAGUGUCCUCUCUACAGCGUUCUGUCUCCUGUAGUGUCCUCUCUACAGCGUUCAGUUCUGUCUCCUGUAGUGUCCUCUCUACAGCGUUCUGUCCCCUGUAGUGUCCUCUCUACAGCGUUCUGUCUCCUGUAGUGUCCUCUCUACAGCGUUCUGUCCCCUGUAGUGUCCUCUCUACAGCGUUCUGUCUCCUGUAGUGUCCUCUCUACAGCGUUCUGUCUCCUGUAGUGUCCUCUCUACAGCGUUCUGUCUCCUGUAGUGUCCUCUCUACAGCGUUCUGUCUCCUGUAGUGUCCUCUCUACAGCGUUCAGUUCUGUCUCCUGUAGUGUCCUCUCUACAGCGUUCUGUCUCCUCUAGUGUCCUCUCUACAGCGUUCUGUCUCCUGUAGUGUCCUCUCUACAGCGUUCUGUCUCCUGUAGUGUCCUCUCUACAGCGUUCAGUCUCCUGUAGUGUCCUCUCUACAGCGUUCUGUCUCCUGUAGUGUCCUCUCUACAGCGUUCUGUCCCCUGUAGUGUCCUCUCUACAGCGUUCUGUCUCCUGUAGUGUCCUCUCUACAGCGUUCUGCCUCCUGUAGUGUCCUCUCUACAGCAUUCUGUCUCCUGUAGUGUCCUCUAUACAGCGUUCUGUCUCCUGUAGUGUCCUCUCUACAGCGUUCUGUCUCCUGUAGUGUCCUCUCUACAGCGUUCUGUCUCCGUAGUGUCCUCUCUACAGCGUUCUGUCUCCUGUAGUGUCCUCUCUACAGCGUUCUGUCUCCUGUAGUGUCCUCUCUACAGCGUUCUGUCUCCUGUAGUGUCCUCUCUACAGCGUUCUGUCUCCUGUAGUGUCCUCUCUACAGCGUUCUGUCUCCGGUAGUGUCCUCUCUACAGCUAUAUCUCUCUGGACAGACUGAGCUCUGUAUAUCUCUCUGGACAGACUGAGCUGUAUAUCUCUCUCUGGACAGACUGAGCUGUAUAUCUCUCUGGACAGACUGAGCUGUAUAUCUCUCUCUGGACAGACUGAGCUGUAUAUCUCUCUGGACAGACUGAGCUGUAUAUCUCUCUCUGGACAGACUGAGCUGUAUAUCUCUCUGGACAGACUGAGCUGUAUAUCUCUCUCUAGACAGACUGAGCUGUAUAUCUCUCUGGACAGACUGAGCUGUAUAUCUCUCUAGACAGACUGAGCUGUAUAUCUCUCUAGACAGACUGAGCUGUAUAUCUCUCUCUGGACAGACUGAGCUGUAUAUCUCUCUGGACAGACUGAGCUGUAUAUCCCUCUCU